rnacentral:lncRNA from 1 species
UGAAUGCUUACGGCUGCCCGCCCUUGGAUCCGGAUGUGUUGUUGGCCGUGGUGCAGAAGGUGCGCGAAGAGAGGGCGUGCGUCACUUUGGUCGUGCCAUACUGGACGGCGCAACCUUGGUGGCAGUUGCUGAUGGAGCUGCCGGUGGACAUAGUGUUUCUCCCCUCGAACACGGAGCUGUUCGCACCGGGGGAAGGGGGGUCGAGCCGCUUCCUGCCGCCCCCGCAGUGGCAGGUGGUGNCGGUACGAGUGCAGUGAUCGACUGGGCCCUCCUGCGCGGCACACGCAGUGGUUCUGCCCCGGUUCCCCGUUAUGCAUUAGACUUUCGUGCUGCGGCUGCUCCCCCGGUUGUCACGAACCUGUUAGUGAAGCAGCUGCAGGCCGCCGCCCCAGGUCAGGACCACUCGGCUCGCCUGGAGCAGAUUGCGGCCGUCAUUGUGUCUCGAGUAGGCUCCAAGACUUGGCAAUCGUAUGCGUCUCAUUUCGCGGCAUUCGUGCGUUUCUGCGUCAGUGAAGACCUUGAGUUCUUGCCGGCGUCCCGGUAUACCGGGUUGUUGUGGGCACAGUACCUGGCUGCCCGUGGUUCUGUUCGGGCUCGCACCGCGCAGCCCUACUUCAGCGCGGUUAAUACAGUGCACGAUUUGUUAGGGCUGGCUAAGCCGUGUGAUGGGGAUAAUGUGCUGUUGUCGGCGUUCCGUAAGGGCUGGGAGCGGCUGCAGGUCUCACUGGCCCCUACCUCGUCCCUUGUCCUCGCCUUCAGUGCUUCGGACGCCUGGAGGCUAUACGACCGGCUCCCGUCCGUCCCGGUUGCGUCGGAUUUGUUUGUCCCUCUUUUGUUCGUCGUCCUUGGCUUCUGUCUAUUUUUGCGUCCCGACUCCUUGCUGUCUGUCGUCUGGGCGCGGGUUUCGGUUGUUGAUGAGGAGCCUGUGUUUCAGUACAAGCCUUUGCACUGGAAAGGCCAAAAGAGGAAUUGCCAAAGUCUGUAAUGGGUGUGGUGUAAUUUGUGUGGAGCGUUGAUGGAAGGAAGGUCGUUAGAUGCAUUUCAAUGCCGUACAUGUUUAUAAUGCGACUUGAAGAAUUGGACGUAAUGUUGCGAAAAGGAAUGGUCGAGAGGAAUAUAGGGUGCUUGUUCAGAAGUGGUGGACGAUACAGUUUUUUAAUAAUUUUCCGCGGCUGAGGUAAUCGCUCACUUGAAUGCCACGAGAAAUGUAUGAAAUGACGGGCAUAUCAGGGAUGUAAUUGGUGUGUCGCGCUGAAACAAGGGCAGGACAUUCUAACAAGAAAUGCCUGUUAUUCCAAGUCGUCUGCUGCUGGUUACCCUAGCGGACACGCUAGACGUGCUGCGUCUUCUGAGUCAGCAGCCAUUACACUUUUGCCAGGCUGGGCAACAUGCAGUCGUAUUCGACACGUUGUGAUGAGUAUAACGUAAAGGAAUAGCAAUUGGUUCAUGGGCUGUUACACCAUUUGCGGCACAUAUUCAUAAAGGACGAGUACCGAGUGUGACCCUGCCGUAAAAAUUAGCGCAGCGGCUGGUUUGUGGCUUGAGCCGCCACGCCAGCUGUGAUGAAUAGUCAGUCUGUGUCAACACAACACUGAUGCGAAAAUAUUCCGAACCGAAUUAAGUAAGAGCCGCGCGAGAGGCGCCACCAAGAAUGGGUAACACGGGCGCCACNNNNNNNNNNNNNNNNNNNNNNNNNNNNNNNNNNNNNNNNNNNNNNNNNNUCACGUUCGACCGGGGGAGGGGGGUCGAGCCGCUUCCUGCCGCCCCCGCAGUGGCAGGUGGUGGCGGUACGAGUGCAGUGAUCGACUGGGCCCUCCUGCGCGGCACACGCAGUGGUUCUGCCCCGGUUCCCCGUUAUGCAUUAGACUUUCGUGCUGCGGCUGCUCCCCCGGUUGUCACGAACCUGUUAGUGAAGCAGCUGCAGGCCGCCGCCCCAGGUCAGGACCACUCGGCUCGCCUGGAGCAGAUUGCGGCCGUCAUUGUGUCUCGAGUAGGCUCCAAGACUUGGCAAUCGUAUGCGUCUCAUUUCGCGGCAUUCGUGCGUUUCUGCGUCAGUGAAGACCUUGAGUUCUUGCCGGCGUCCCGGUAUACCGGGUUGUUGUGGGCACAGUACCUGGCUGCCCGUGGUUCUGUUCGGGCUCGCACCGCGCAGCCCUACUUCAGCACGGUUAAUACAGUGCACGAUUUGUUAGGGCUGGCUAAGCCGUGU